GGCAGAGCCAGCCUUAUCCGGCUCCGGCUGGCUA
rnacentral:sRNA from 1 species